rfam:Scleroderma citrinum Foug A unplaced genomic scaffold scaffold_104, whole genome shotgun sequence.
UUACCACUCUGGCCUUUUGGCUUAGAUCAAGUGUAGUAUCUGUUCUUAAUAGAUUAACCUCUAUUAUGGAGGCACUGCCUCCAUUAUUUGGUUAUCAAAUUUUUGCUGCCCUUGUUCCCAUGAGCUCUGCUUGCAACUCUGGGGAUAUGAUGACCUUGCUAUUGCAGUAUUGGCUUGUGUUGUCAGGGGAUU